rnacentral:rRNA from 1 species
AGAUUGAACGCUGGCGGCAUGCCUUACACAUGCAAGUCGAACGGCAGCACGGGAGCAAUCCUGGUGGCGAGUGGCGAACGGGUGAGUAAUAUAUCGGAACGUGCCCAGUCGUGGGGGAUAACGCAGCGAAAGCUGUGCUAAUACCGCAUACGAUCUAUGGAUGAAAGCGGGGGAUCGCAAGACCUCGCGUCGAUUCGGAGGACGGCCGGACUAUACUA